AAAAGGCCACAAAAACGGGUGGGCUAUACCCUCGGGGGGUGGGGCUGGCCAACUUCGUCCGCCGGACUCGGAAUGCCGCGAGACUUUGCGAGGGUCCUCCGUGUGCCAAAAAUAGGCCGCGGGCAAAGCCGCGCCCAAAAAUAACCGCCCGAAGGCCGGGGCGCCAAGUUCGUCCAGCGGAUAAAGGCCACAAAAACGGGUGGGCUAUAGCCUUGGGGGGUGGGGCUGGCCAACUUCAUUCACCGGACUCGGAAUGCCGCGAGACUUUGCGAGGGUCCUCCGUGUGCCAAAAAUAAGCCGCGGGCAAAGCCGGGCCCAAAAAUAACAGCCCGAAGGCCGGGGCGCCAAGUUCUUCCGGCGGAAAAAGGCCACAAAAACGGGUGGGCUACACCCUCGGGGGGUGGGGCUGGCCCACUUCGUCCGCCGGACUCGGAAUGCCGCGAGACUUUGCGAGGGGCCUCCGUGUGCCAAAAAUAGGCCGUGGGCAAAGCGGCGCCCAAAAAUAACAGCCCGAAUGCCGGGGCGCCAAGUUCGUCCUGAGGAAAAAAACGCCACAAAAACGG
rnacentral:lncRNA from 1 species